rnacentral:rRNA from 1 species
CACGUAGGGUGCGAGCGUUGUCCGGAAUUAUUGGGCGUAAAGAGCUCGUAGGCGGUGUGUCGCGUCGGCCGUGAAAACCUGCAGCUUAACUGUGGGCGUGCGGUCGAUACGGGCAUCACUGGAGUUCGGCAGGGGAGACUGGAAUUCCUGGUGUAGCGGUGAAAUGCGCAGAUAUUGGGAAGAACACCGGUGGCGAAGGCGGCUCACUGGCUCGUAACUGACGCUCAUGCACGACAGCGUGGGGAUCAAACAGG